rnacentral:rRNA from 1 species
UACGAAGGGGGCUAGCGUUGUUCGGAAUUACUGGGCGUAAAGCGCGCGUAGGCGGUUUUGCAAGCCAGAGGUGAAAUGCCUGAGCCCAACUUAGGAAUUGCCUUUGGGACUGCGAGGCUUUGAGGACUGGAGAGGUGAGUGGAAUUCCCAGUGUAGAGGUGAAAUUCGUAGAUAUUGGGAAGAACACCAGUGGCGAAGGCGGCUCACUGGCCAGUUUCUGACGCUGCAGCGCGAAAGCGUGGGGAUCAAACAGG